rnacentral:misc_RNA from 1 species
AAAAAUAACAACAAGAGG